rnacentral:rRNA from 1 species
UACAGAGGUCCCAAGCGUUGUUCGGAUUCACUGGGCGUAAAGGGUGCGUAGGCGGCCGGGUAAGUCCGAGGUGAAAUCCUCCAGCUUAACUGGAGAAGUGCCCCGGAUACUGGUGGCCUCGAGGAGGGUAGGGGCAUCUGGAACUAGCGGUGGAGCGGUGAAAUGCGUUGAUAUCGCUAGGAACGCCGAAGGUGAAAACAGGCUGCUGGGGUUGCGCCGACGCUGAGACACGAAAGCCAGGGGAGCAAACGGG